rnacentral:lncRNA from 1 species
ACCUUGUGGAUUAAGAUUGUAAUUAGGAUUUAAAUCAACAUGAUUAAAAUAUAAUACUGUAUCGACAAUUUAGGUUCUACAGUCUAAACUUGACUAAACUCGAGUAUGACAUAACAGAACAAUCAUGUAAUCAAGCAAAUAUAUUAACCCCAAAAAAAACAUACAAUUCCAAUGAUUUAAGUACUUAUAGUAAUCAAAUACUAACUAAUUAACCAAUCUUGACUUAAGAUCAAGAUAUUAGUUACCCAAUUAACUAUAGUUAACUAUUGUAAACUGAAGUGAAUUGGAUUAUACUAGAAUGAGUUGCCUUUUACAAUUCCUAUCUAUCUCUAUUUAUACUAAUUAUUCUCUAACUGAUAGUUGUUAGAGUGACAACCUUUUACUUAUUAACACACCCCCUCAAUCUUGGGAGAGUUAUCUAACAAGAUUGUUUCUUUGAUCAAUGAAUAAUACUGGCUUUAACGCUUUGGUCAAUAUGUCUGCUUUCUGAUGUGCUACUGAUAUAUGUGAUACAUUUAUUGUUCCUGCCUCUACUCUUUCUUGAACAUACUUCAAGUCGAUGGCUACAUGUUUUAGUUUUGUGUGACAUACUGAGUUUGAAGCCACAUAUGUUGCACCCAAAUUGUCGGAUCUGAGUGUCAUUGGUAACCGUGCUUCAAUACCUAAUUCCAACAGUAGGUUUCGUACCCAUUCAAGUUCCGUAAUCGUUGUGGCAAUUGCUCUGUAUUCUGACUCCGUACUUGAUCUUGCCACGGUGUUUUAUUUUCUAGAGGUCCAUGCAAUCAGUGAUUCGCAUACGUAGAUGAGAUACCCUGUUUGACUUUUGCGGCAUCACUGUCCCCUCCCCAAUCUGCAUCACAGUAUCCGAUGAUUGUAAAUGACGUUGUUUUUCGUAAAAUUAGGCCAUGCUUCCGCGUUCCAGACAGAUAUUGUAAUACUUUCUGCAUUGCUAAUAAGUGUACAGGUUUUGGAGAUGCCAUGUAUUGAGACAAUUUAUUUACUGCAAAUUGUAUAUCUGGUCUCAUGAUGGUGAGGUACUGAAGUGAUCCAACGAUCCGUCUGUACUCUUUGUCUUCUUUGAUUGGUUGCUCAUCCGAGUGUAAGUCUUGAUUUGUUAUCAUCGGUGUGUUUGAGGUUUUGGAUUUUUCUAUUCCACAGCUAGCUCUUGAGUAGAUUUCUCAAGUAUUGUGUUUGAUUCAGGUGUAAUCCGAGCUUAUCCUUUUUUACAUGAAUGCCUAGGAACAGCGAUGCUUCACCCAGACGUCUGAGUGCAAAUUCGUCUUCUAAUAUGUCUAUCAUCUUUUCAACCUAUGUAUUGUCUGAACCUGUAAUUAUCAUAUCAUCAACAGAUAUAUCGUAUGUUUUACAGUUGAUAGAAUGAACAAUGAUGGAUAUGAACUUCCUUGAGUAAUCCCUUGUCUUAGCAGAAAUUCUUUUACUUUCUUGUACCACAUGCGUGGUGCCUGUUUGAGGCCGCAGAGUGCUUUAUUUAAUAGGCAUACGUGAUUUGGUCGGUCUGGAUCAACAAACCCCAUUGGUUGUGACACAACUACCCUUUUUUCGAUUUCUCCGUGAAGAAAUGAAUUGGAUAUGUCGAUUUGCAUGAUCUUCCAUCCUCUUGUGACUGCUAUCGUGAGUACUAGCCUGAUUGAUACUAGUUUGACUACGGGGUUGUACGUCUGAUUGUACUCCGUUCCUUCUAUUUGACGAAGUCCGUUAGCUACUAAUCUUGCUUUGAGUCUCUCAAUGCUUCCAUCUUCUUUCUGUUUGAUUUUGAAGAUCCAGAUUGAGUUAAUCACAUUGUCAUUCGAGGUGUGAGGGAUCAGUGUCCAGGUGUUGUUUUUCAACAGUGCCAUAUAUUCCUCUUUCAUUGCUUCCUUUCAUGCUGGGACUAGUAACGCCUGUUUUGGUGAUUUUGGAAGCCCAACUGGUCUUGUGGUGCUUAUGCAUGGAUAUUUAAGAUUUGGUUUGAUAAUCCCGUAUUUUGACCUGGUGUAUGGCGGUGAAAUUACGGAUGUUUGCUCAACGAUUGGUUCUUGAUUUUGCUCGAUUUCGGACUGUGUUGGACUUGGCUCUUCAAUUGACAUAUUCAAUUCUGAAGUGUCUGAAUUUGUUGCGUGUUCGGCUGAGUCUUGAGUGGUUUGUUUUUCAAGAUCAUGAUUUGCUUCUUCAGAUAGUGAAUCUCCAGUCUCAGGUUCUUGUGUACUUGUUGUUGGAUCGUGAUCCGAGGCUAUAAGGGGGGAUGAUAGCCUCUUUUCGAUUUAUACAGGUUGAUUGCGGAAUUACCUGUAAAUGCUUAAUAAACAAAUGGUUGAACAGUAAUGAUAUAAGGAUAUUAUUAUAAUAAUGUAAGUAUUACUCUUCGAAGCUUACUACGGUAUAUGAAUACUGAGUCAACUUGCUUGAUAGUGUUUCACACACAACUAUAGUAUAUGAAUACUAAGUUAUAUUGGAAACAUAAAUUGUAUUGUAGAGUAAAUGACCAGAUAACUGGAUAUAUUGAUACGCAAGUAAAUGACCAGAUAACUGGAUAUAUUGACAAAUAAGUAAGUGAUCAGAUAACUGGAUAAGUUGAUAAACAAGUAAGUGACCAGAUAACUGGAGAGAUAUGAUAAGUAAUACUUGAACAAAUAUAAGGAUUUAAAGCAAUGAAUAUAACCUCAGAUAGUUGACCAGGUAACUGGAUGAGGGAUCUGCGUAAAAUAGUCAACCUCUGUAUUUGACCAGAUAACUGGAAGAGGGAUCUUUUUAAUUAAGUGUUGUUUUUUAAGUAAAAGAUAGAACUAUAAUUAACAGAGAACAACACAAGAGAUUUAUACUGGUUCACCCAAACAAGGGCUAGUCCAGUCCCGACCAACUGCCGGAAUUCACUCGCCUAAAGGUAAUGGCAAAACCUUUCUAAGCUUUAAGGCUACUUCGCUUAGGAACCAGUCUUUUACGGGUAGACUCACACCUUAGAGUAUCAAAGGCACUCUUAAGAACCUCUAACUUUUACGGGUAAGUUAGUACCUUAGAGUAUCAAGGAACUCUUAAAAACCUCUCUAAGCUUUAAGGCUACUUCGNNNNNNNNNNNNNNNNNNNNNNNNNNNNNNNNNNNNNNNNNNNNNNNNNNNNNNNNNNNNNNNNNNNNNNNNNNNNNNNNNNNNNNNNNNNNNNNNNNNNUUACCCUUCUAUUUAUAGCCUUGGCCACUCAAUGUCCACCCUUGGAUCUUCAAUGGAUGGCUCCUUGAUUUCUCACAUAAAUCCAAGCUUUGUCUUUGAUCUUAUCUUGAAUAGUGUUUUUCUUGGAUAGAGUUUGUUGGAGAAUCUUAUCUUUGUAUAAAUUCAAACUUGAAUAGUGUUUUGUCCCCUUGGAAUAUUAUACUUUGAAUAAAGUGUCAAAAGAUAAUAAUAAUAAUAUUCAAGGUGAAAAUGCAAUUAUUCCAAAUAAUAAUAUUCAAGGUGAAAAUGCAAUUCUCCCAAUUUGACUUUUAACUUUGACUUAAACCCUUAACUCAAAUGAUUAAUUAAUUAACUGGAGUUAGGUUUAAUAUCGAUUGACUUAUUUAACCCCUAUUGAUUAAUAGUGUAAUUAGGGUUUAAAUUGACAUGAUUAAAAUAUAAUCCUAUGUCGACAAUUUUGAUUCUACAUUCUCCCCCUUUGUCGAUGGCAUAUAUGUUUUAACUCAUGUCUAGUCAAUAUUCUAUUUUACCCUUAUGAGCAUGCUCCCCCUGAAUUAUUGACCCAUAAUAUUAAAUUUAAAAGCAGUGGAUCAUGCAUGAUUUCUCCCCCUUAAAACAAUAUGGUAUCGACAAAGUUAAAAAUAGAUACCUAUGAAGUAUCUCCCCUUUAAUGAUAGGAUAUCUAAUUUGUGGAGAAAAUAAAAUUUCAUACCUCAUUGAGCUUUAAUCACAAAUUCGAUUUGUGUGGUUGACCAAAUGUGACGUCUUGCUUAUAAGAGUGUUAGUCAAUCAUAUAGAAGAAAUAACAUGUAAUUUAUGCUCAUUGAUAAACUAUUGGAUUGAAGCCAAUUUUGAUAUACAUUAUAAGGCAAGUAUGAUAUGAUAAUUUAGAUUGCCUUGUGCUAAGAUCAUGCGAUGAAUAAUAAUCCAUGUGUGUGUUAUGGAUGAAGAUGAUCUUAACAUGUAUGGAUUAAAGAUUUUAUAAUGUUAUAAUCCAUAAGAUAUUAGUGAAUGAUAAGUAUAAAUCCAUAAUAUUUACUAAUUGCUUUAAGGAGAAAUUGAGCAUUUAAAAUUUUAAAAUCUAUGUCUUAGUGACAAAUAUAAUCAUGUAAAUAUUCACUAAGUUUUAAAAGAUUUAAAAUUUUCAUUUCAGUCCUUAAAGCCUUAGUAGUAAAACUUCACUUAAAACAAAAUUUCAUUUAAGCCCUUUGAAGUUAUAAUAAAUACUUAGAUUAAUACUUGAAAUAUUUCAUUUAAACCUUGGAAGUAUUAACUAAUUCUAAGCACUUUUCAAUUUGAAAACUUCAUGUAAAUAUUAAUUUUAAGUCCCUGAAGUUUUAACUAAAUAUUUAUUCACUGUAAAGAUAUCAUUUUGACCCUUAAGUUUUAGUGAAUCUAUUAAAACUUAAAAACUUCAUAAACGAUUUACGUUUAAGUCCUUGAAGUUUCACAAAACUUUAUAUUCACUGAAAAAUAUAAUUUUAAUCCUUAAGUUUCAGUGAAUCAUUUUAAACUUCAAAACUAUUUUAUGUUUAAUCCCUUGAAGUUUUAGAGUUCAAGACUUUGAAAAGUCGAUUAAUACUUCAAAAGAAUUUUAAUUUUAUACCUUGAAGUAUUAACUAAUGUCCAUGCAGCCCUCAAAUUUUUGAUAUUGCUAAUAUUAUGUUUUUCUUUAUGCAUGCAUACCCUUAUGUUGAUAAGCUUAGAUGAUUAAAAUCAUAAAACGAUUUUUCAUUUCAACAGAAGAGGUGAUACAUAACAGGAUUAAUCUCAUAUUCAAUGAGACUACGAUCCAUGAAUGGAUCUUCAAAAUAACAGAAAAACAGACACAAAAUACAAGUACUCAAAACAUCAAAAUACUUCUUAGGGCAGAUGUAGUUCAGUCAUGGUGGUGCAUGGUUGGGAUGACUUUGGAGCUAAACUCAUGAAAUAGGUUAGCCAACUCCAGGUUAUAUUCUCUCUCAACAUCUAGCUGUUGCCUUGUUAUGGAAACCAUCUCUUCCAGAUCUCCCAUUCCUUUCUCCAACAUCCUCACUUGAUGUCGAACCCUUAUGAUUUCCUCAUUCAAAAACACAUUAGUGUUUGGUGAGUUUGGAUCAUAAGUGUUUCUCCAAGUCUUUUGGAAGGAGCUUGCAGUGAAUGGUUGAAUGUGAGAUAUGAUUGGAUGUGGAUAGAGUGGAAUUCCAAAGUACUCUGGACUGAGGAUUUUGGAGAGCAUCCUUGGGUAGUGACGUGCUCCAGUACUCCUUGUUGAUGUUGUCAUGUUAUGCAUGAUUAAGGAUGUCCAGUUUACCCUGAUUUUUGACAGUAAACAAUAGAUUGCUACUAAGACCAAUGUGGAUGGUUCUUCUUUAUCGUCAGCUUGAGGAUAAAUGUUGCACAGGAUUACUUUGAGGAAGAUGGAGGCUUCUGGUAUGAGCAUUGAUUUCAAGAUUUUAUCAGUGCUUCUAGGGUUAUACCUAUGAGUAAGAGUGUUCCAGAGAAUCUCCCAAUCGCACUUGAAGGGUAGCUCUCUAAGAUUUUUAUAAUUUUGAAUUUUUACUCCAUCGUUUGGUAGGUUAAUCCAUGUACUCAGUUUAUCAGCUUCGAGAAUCAGACAUAUUCCAUUCACCAUGGUUGUAAUCCUUUGUAUGCCUAUAGUGUUAUACUUGAGAUUGGCAUAGAACUGAGCCAGCUCUGAUUUGUAGAUCCUGAGUUGUCCGAUGUUCUCAAGAUAAUCAGAAAGUCUGUUAAAAUUUAACAGGCCUUCGAUCACUUUGCAGUUGAGAGAUCUAAGCAGGACUGGUUCUUCAAAGAUCAUCCUUUGCUCGAGAAUGAGGUUGUAAGAUAACCUUGCCGUUGGAGAGAUCCAUGUUCGUGUUCCUUGGAACAUUUCUGAUACUGGAAUCUUUCUGGUGCGUUUCUUCCGGAUAACGUUGCUGCUUGAAGGAUUGGGGUUGUAUACCGGACUGGAAGGACAGUCUGGUAUGAUUGUUAGUUCCUUCUUCUCAGGAUUGAUUUCUUGAAUCAACAUCCUUGGGACAGACUGGUGUUAGGAAGAGGAAGAAGAUAUGUAUUUGAUUGUUCUUCCUAUCCUUUUAUAGUGAGAUAUUCUACCUUUUGGCAGAUCAUGUCUGUCCGGAUUCUGAAUUAACAGAUAUUACUUGUAAAGCUGUACAAGCUUUAAGUCAUGUCUACCCGUGAAGAGUUGGCAACUUAGGGUUUGUUUUUCAAUACUCCAUGACACAAGUCUUGGAGAGUCAAAUCAUUUAGAUUUAUCUAGAGAUUUGUUUAAUAGAUCUAAGUUAAGAUUUGUUUUAAAAAACUAUUUAUUUAACUAUUUAGAUCAUACCUUUUUAGUAGUUCAACACAACUCUUACACUCUCCAUGCCUUUAGACUUUUGUAGCCGAUGUUUUCAACUUCUGCAGACGAAGAUUGAUGUGUGCAGGUGCAGGAUUUGUCUUCUGUCAGCACUUCUUGCGAGGUGUUUCUUUGCAGGUCAUUCUCUGGUAAUAGAGUUGCCGGAUGUCGCAAGUGAUUGAUGGUUGCAGAUGAGUUGCUGGCUUUUUCAGCAAUGAGAGUUUCAAAACAUACCUUAUUUGUUUUGAGUUUCCAAGGCAUGGUGUGGCUUACCAACAUCAUUUAGAUAAGAUUAAUAUAGCAGAAUGGAUUUAGCAAUAUGUUGUACUCAGAUGAUGUUGCAUAGUUGACUAGUUUGCAUUUAGAGGACUCUUCUAAACAUGCAGAUGAUCAGUGAUAAGUAAGAUUUAAAAUAUAAGCAACAUGUUCAUCUUGUAUGUAUAAUCGUGGCAUAUAAUGAGUUGUUUUGAAAUUUUCAUGCAUGUAUUGCACAUCUCAUAUGUAGGUAGAUUCAUUUUACUUUGCAUGCAUACUAUAUGUAUUUAUCAAAAGAUUAUAAGCAUACAGAUGGUUUGUAAUACGUAAAACAGGCAUGUAUAGGAUUAGUUUCAUGAAUUGAUUAUGAGUUAGCUAGUUUAGUAAAGAAAUAUUCAUGUUUAUGAUUGUAUGUCAUCAUAUAGUUUUUUAACUAGUAUUAAAAAGAUGGCAUCAUUCAAAGAUAAUCAACUGUUUGGUAGGUGAUUGUAUGUAAGCAUGAUGAGUGCAUAUGAUAUGUAUGAAUCAACGAGUUGAAUAAUGAAAGUACAAUCACAUAGUAUAUAACUGAUUGUUUCAGAUGAUUAUGUAGUUGAAUAUUUCAUAGGAGAUUUUAUAAACCAAGCAUUUAUCAGAUCAUAUAUUUUAUAGAAGCAUAUAAAUCAAUGUGUAGGCAUGUAUUAACGUGAUUGAUAUAUAUAUGAUAGACAUGCAUUUAGAUGUCUAUUGAGUUAUGUGCGUGUAGAGCUUAGCAUGUGAAUGAUAAAAGCAUGUAUGUUUAUAUAGCAUUAGAUCAUGUUAAGUUCAUAUGCACAUAGAUCUACUUAGGCUUUAUUUGAGAUACAAAGCAAUCUAGGACAUAGUUGCCUUGUAUAGAUGAUUUUGUUUGUAUGCUAAUGUGUUGAUCUCCAAUGAUUUGUUCUGCGGAGUCUGAGUUUCUGAGAUUCCUAUUUGAUGGAAGUUCAGAGAUGAUUGUUUCUUGAUCAUCUCUUUCUAUGGGAGUGUCAGAUGGUAUUUGUUGAAUGACUUUAAUUCCUCCUUCUGUGUUUGGAACAGAGAUGGACUCAUCAAAGUCAACGUGUAGGGAUUCUAUCAAUGUUUGUCUUUCUUUGAGAAGGACUCUAUAUGCCUUGCUCCUUUUUGAGUAUCCAACCAGGAUUCCUUCAUCAGAUUUUUGUGCUGAUUUAUCUUGGUUUCCCCUUGUUGUGAGAACAUAGCACUUACUCCCAAAUACUUUAAAGAAUGAAACUUUGGGUUUUCUGUUAUUCCAAAGUUCAUAGGGAGUUUUGUUUAAGGUUUUUCUAAUGAUUACCUUAUUGAGAGUGUAACAGGCAGUGCUUAUAGCUUCUGCCCAUAGAUAUUGAGGGGAGUCAUGUUCUUGUAACAUAGACUUACUCAUUUCUUGAAGAGUACGAUUUUUUCUUUCUACUAUUCCAUUUUGAGGUGGAGCUUGAGAAACAGCAAAUUCAUGCUUUAUCCCAUUGGAUAUACAGUACUCUUCAAAGUCAGAGUUUUCAAAUUCUCCUCCAUGAUCACUUCUGAUUUUUAUGAUAGAUGAACCUUUUUCAUUCUGUACUAGGGUACAAAAUUUAGAAAAUUCACCAAAGGUUUCACUUUUGUUUCUUAGAAAGAACACCCAUGUAUAGUGGGAAUAAUCAUCAAUGAUUACAUAGGUGAACCUUUUUCCUCCAAGACUUUGGAUUUGGGUUGGCCCAAAUAAGUCCAUGUGAAGAAGCUCUAAGGGUCUAGAAGUGGUUAUUUUUGUGAGGGAUUUAAGUGAGCUUUUGUGUUGCUUUCCUUUUUGACAAGCAUCACAGAUAUUACUUUUUUCAUAAGCUAUUUUAGGCAACCCGGUUACUAAUUCUUCUUUAGAUAAUCUAGAUAGCUUUGAGUAGCUGGUGUGACCUAGUCGUCUAUGCCACAGAACUUUCUCAUCACUUGCAGCAAGCAUGCAGAAGUCAUGAGUUGGUUUAGAUUUAUCAAAGUUUAUAGAAUAAGCAUUGCUUUUUCUAUAUCCUCUGGGAAUGAUAACUCCCUCAGAGUUAGUGAUAGAACAAUUGUAUUUUUCAAAUUUUACUACACACCCGAUAUCACAUAAUUGACUUAUGCUAAUCAGGUUGUGUUUUAGACCAUUUACUAAGUAUACAUUUCUUAAGAAUGGUUUUUCUGUAUUUCCUACAUUACCCCUACCUACUAUUGUACCUUCAUUGUUAUCGGCGAACUUAACCUUUUUAGUAGUAGGUAAGUCUAUCAAGUCGGUUAGUAGACUUGAUUCCCCGGUCAUGUGUCUUGUGCAUCCACUGUCGAACAUCCAUUUUGGCACAUGCUUUUCCUGAAAAAGUUGAAAGAUCCUUUGGUACCCAUACUGAGUUGGGUCCGGAUGAAUUAAAUACUUAAUCUGCUUAUAGUUUCGUAACUCAUCUUUAGACAUCCAUCUUUGCUUUGGAUGAUUCAUCUUAAAAUGAUUUUUCUUUUUCUUAAGAUGAAUGAAUUUUGUAUUCCUAGAAUAAUUAUUAUAUAUUGAAGCAUGCAAAGGUUUUGUAUGACUAGAUUCCCUUACAAAAUGAUCAUUAAAAGUUAUGGCAUUUAAGGUUUUGUUAAUAGGUGUAUUUGACUCAAACCCUAAGCCAAAUUUCUUUUGACCUAAGUUCGAGCCUUGCAACAUAUUAUUUAACUUGGAUGAACUAUUGAAGAAUUUUUGAAGAACACUAUUUUUCUCAUUUAUUCUUUUAAUUUGUAAUUGCAUGCUAUUAUGUUUUUCAGAUAAUUUUUGUAAAGUUUCUUCAUGCUCAAGUAUGAGUUUAUCCUUAGAUUUUAUUUCAGUUUUAAGCAUGAUUGUUUCUUUUUCUUUAUUUCUAAUGAUUUCCUCAAAAUUAUCUAUUUUUAAUUCUAACAAUUCAACCAUAUCAUCAUUUAUUUCAUUGGGUUGAUUUUCUUCAGAUUCUAGAAGUAAUUCAAAAUUUUGACUCUUAAGUGUUUUAAUUUUUUCAUCUCCCUUUUUUAUUUUACUUGAGAGUUUAUGAUUUUCUUCUUUUAAUAACAUGCAUUCUUUUUGUGAUUCUUCUAAUUCUAUUGAGUGAUCAAUAUGUGAUUUAUUCAUGCAUUCUAGUCUUAAUGAUUUACUUAAUUUUUUCUCAGCUUUAUAUUUAUCCAUUAAUUCUAGAAAUGCUUCUUCUAAUGAAUUAAAUCUAGUAUUUGUAAAGUUUACCUCAGAGUCGUUCUCAUGAGCCAUGAGGCAGUCUUCUUGAUCUGACUCAAAAUCUGACUAGUGUACUUGAUGCGCUUUUUCUUUCUUUAGUAGAGGACAUUCAGGUCUGAUGUGUCCAGAUUUGUCGCACAAGUAGCAGAUGGGCUCCUUUGGGUCUUUGUGGUUUUUACUUACUUUUCUGUCGGAAUUCUGAUGGUCUAUCCUUGAAUUUCUCUUUUCUUUCCUUUUUAUGAGAUAUCUCUUUAAAUGAUUUGUGAGCAUUGCCAAGUCAUCAUCAGAUGAUUCAUUAUCGCUUUGACUUUUGAGAGCAAUGUCCUUUUUCUCCUCUUUUGCUCUAGAGAUAAAUCUUUCCUCUUCAUAGGCCAUCAGAUUUCCGCAAAGUUCUACCACUGUGAGUUUGUUCAGAUCAUGAGAUUCUUGGAUCGCAUUCCUCUUUGAAUAGUAUUUGUUUGGAAGGCUUCUUAGAAUCUUGCUUGCUUUUUCUCAGUUACUGGAUCCCCUAGUCCAGCCAGAUCAUUGACUAUUUGUGAUAGUCGAAUGUUCAUUUCUGCGAUAGUCUCAUCUUCCCUCAUAGAGAAUCUUUCGAAUUGAGAAGUGGCAUGUAGUAGCUUAUUUUCCUUGACGUGGGAGGUUCCUUCAUGUAAAUUCUCCAAAGCUUUCCAUACCUUGUGAGCUGUAUCCAAGCAUCGAAUUCUGCUGUACUCAGAUUCAUUGAGAGCGCCAUAUAGUGCAUUCAAUGCUCUUGAGUUAUUGUUUUCCUUGAGGAUAUCCAUUGCUCCCUAAGUCUCUUCUUUGCUUGUUGGAAUCUCAUAAUCUUCCAAUAUGAUUUUCCAGACUCCAUUGUUGAUUAACUUUAAGUAUAACUUCAUCUUGUUCUUCCAGAAGUCAUACUUUACUCCAUCGAACCUGGGAGGUUUGUUCGAUGCAAGACCAGUACUGUUUUCACCAUUUGAAGCCAUAGUUGUUGUUGUAAGAUGUUAGUCUGACUUCAACGGAACUUGGCUCUGAUACCACUUGUUGGAUCGUGAUCCGAGGCUAUAAGGAGAGGUAAUAGCGUCUUUUCGAUUUAAACAGGUUGAUUGCGGAAUUACCUGUAAAUGCUUAAUAAACAAAUAGUUGAAUAGUAAUGAUAUAAGGAUAUUAUGAUUUUGAUUGAUAUAAUAAUGUAAGUAUUACUCUUCGAAGCUUACUACAGUAUAUGAAUACUGAGUCAACUUGCUUGAUAGUGUUUUACACACAACUAUAGUAUAUGAAUACUAAGUUAUAUUGAAAACACAAAUUGUAUUGUAGAGUAAAUGACCAGAUAACUGGAUAUAUUGAUACGCAAGUAAAUGACCAGAUAACUGGAUAAGUUGAUAAACAAGUAAGUGACCAGAUAACUGGAUAAAUAUGAUAAGUAAUACUUGAACAAAUAUAAAGAUUUAAAGCAAUGAAUAUAACCUCAGAUAGUUGACCAGAUAACUGGAUGAGGGAUCUGCGUAAAGUAGUCAACCUCUGUGUUUGACCAGAUAACUGGAAGAGGGAUCU